GUGUCAGCCGCCGCGGUAAUACGAAGGGGGCUAGCGUUGCUCGGAAUUACUGGGCGUAAAGGGCGCGUAGGCGGCACUGUUAGUCAGGCGUGAAAGUCCUGGGCUCAACCUGGGAACUGCGCUUGAUACGGCAGAGCUAGAGGAUGGAAGAGGCUCGCGGAAUUCCCAGUGUAGAGGUGAAAUUCGUAGAUAUUGGGAAGAACACCGGUGGCGAAGGCGGCGAGCUGGUCCAUUACUGACGCUGAGGCGCGACAGCGUGGGGAGCAAACAGGAUUAGAUACCCUGGUAGUCCACGCCGUAAACGAUGUGCGCUGGAUGUUGGGUGGCCUAGCCACUCAGUGUCGUAGCUAACGCGGUAAGCGCACCGCCUGGGGAGUACGGCCGCAAGGUUGAA
rnacentral:rRNA from 1 species